UCUAGAGCUCGAGAUAUGGGCUGAACAGUUAACAGUGUCUGGGCUGCAGGACAGAUUCUGACUUCUCCGUUAUUGCUAAGAUUGGACUUCCAGACAACAGAAUUGAGUCUUGCACUCCUCAUAAAUGUUUUAGGCCUAUGUCUUAGAUUUCUAUC
rfam:Populus trichocarpa scaffold_1_contig_220, whole genome shotgun sequence.